CGGGCAUACAACACUACAUGUUAACCAGUUAUCCCAACAAAACUCCAUUUCUAGCAUCCUACCCAGUCAAAUGUGUCCUUAAAGGUUUUCAGAGACUAACCAUACAUAAUCCCAUUAAGAGACUUCCCGUAGAUAGUAUACGGUUUAGGAGUAUCUCUGAUUUACUAGACAAGUCCCCUUUUGAGAAGGUCACGAACCUGAAAAUUUAAAUCCGCAGCCUACAUAGCCUUCUACGGUUUCUUGAGACCUGUGGAGAAGGCAUCCGAUUUUAAGUCAUGCCUUCAGCAAAAACACCUUACUAAAAC